GACGUAGGGCGCGAGCGUUUGUCCGGAUUUAUUGGGCGUAAAGAGCUCGUAGGCGGCUUGUCGCGUCGACUGUGAAAUCCCGCGGCUCAACUGCGGGUCUGCAGUCGAUACGGGCAGGCUAGAGUUCGGUAGGGGAGACGAGUACUUCUGGUGUAGCGGUGAAAUGCGCAGAUAUCAGGAGGAACACCGGUGGCGAAGGCGGGUCUCUGGGCCGAUACUGACGCUGGAGGUGCGAAAGCGUGGGGAGCAAACAGG
rnacentral:rRNA from 1 species